rnacentral:rRNA from 1 species
UUACGACUACAUAUCAGGCAUAUCAAUAAGCGGAGGAAAAGAAACUAACAAGGAUUCCCUUAGUAACGGCGAGUGAAGCGGGAAGAGCUCAAAUUUGAAUCUUCAAGGUUCUACCUUGACGAAUUGUAGUUUAAAGAAGUGUUUUCUGUUAAAUGAGUAGCAAAAGUUCCUUGGAAUGGCACAUCAUAGAGGGUGAGAAUCCCGUAUUUGGUUAUUCAUUCUAGCUUUGUGAUACACUUUCAAAGAGUCGGAUUGUUUGGGAAUGCAGUCCAAAAUGGGUGGUAAAUUUCAUCUAAAGCUAAAUAUUGACGAGAGACCGAUAGCGAACAAGUACCGUGAGGGAAAGAUGAAAAGAACUUUGAAAAGAGAGUUAAACAGUACGUGAAAUUGUCAAAAGGGAAGCGUUUGACACCAGUGUUGUUUUUCCGAAAAUCAAUUACGAAUGGCUUGAUUUUGUGUUGUAUUGACCUUAUCAGCUUUCUUCACUUUUUUCGAGUCUUUCUUAAUGCACUUUUCGGUUAACAAGUCAACAUCAAUUUCUUUUGUUGUAAAAGAGUAUUCGGAAGGUGGCUUUCUUUUCGGAGAAAGUGUUUAUAGCCCUAUACUUCUACAAUCGGAGAGAUUGAGGUCUGCAGCGUAGAUCCUUCGGGGUUAGAUACACUUGUGCUAAGUUGUAGCUUUUCAUAGACAACUUGUUGACUAUGUUUAGUCAUGCGGCUUACUCGCUUAUGCUAUUUUACCUACGCUUAGGAUGUUGAGUAGCGACAUACGCAC